ACGAGCGAACGAGUGACAUCUUCAUUGUGGAUAGAAUCAAUUAUUAUAAAUACAUUAUUCGGCAACGAUAAUGCAAGGGCGACGAGAAGUCGCCCUAAAAAAAACUAUCGAGAGGAAAUAUAAGCAGAUGGGAGAUAAAUAGAUGAUGGCUAAAAGACGAUCAGUUUAGGUAGAGGAUAUAGUUUAGAGAGUUCUGUUUAGAAUGUUUCAAUAAAAUGCACUAAGAAAGUGGUCCGACAUCGGCUAAACGGAAAAUUCAGUGUCGAUUUUUAGGGACCGACGCCGGCCGAACAGAAAGUUCAAUGUCGGUUCCUUUAUCCGAUGUCUGGAGACCUACAAGAAUUAACAGUUCUAACACCGACAUAUUUUUUGAUCAGCGACUCUGAUUCUAUCUGUUAAUACCGACAUCCUAAACACACCAGAGAACUGUCCAAGACCUUAUCCAGAUGGUAACUGUUGCAGAAGAUGCAGCAAAGAAUAUGGGCCUGAUGGCAUUUUGUUCGGAAUAUUUAUAAGAAUUAUAAUGACGUCAUAAGUUUCUUUCUAUCAGAAAACCUGAAGCUAUGCUUAUACUACUAAAGGACAAAAAUUUACCUCCACUUCAAUGGGAAACAGCCCGUAUCACCAAAAUUCAUUGCGGAAACGACAACAUCCAGGGUAGUCACUAUUAAAACUUCUAAGGGAUUGAAAAAAUCCACUAGGGAGUUUGCCCAUUUUCUAUUUACGAUAAAAUAGAAUCAUAAUUAAAGAGCGCCACCGAUCGAAUUAGAACGAAUCGACACCAAGUAAUCACACCACGACGUGCCGCGACUGCCGCAUAUGAAUUGUGCGCAGUUUAGCUGCGCAGUGUAAUAUUCGCGAGUCAUUUUAUUUUUGACAACUGACGCACUUAAUAGAAUUUGGUUUGGAUGGAGAUCAAGAAGAAAAAGAAGAAGGAUUUGGUAAUAUGUGAUUAUCGUAAAAACAAGGAAUUUAAUUUACAAUCUGAUGAAUUGAAUCAAAAUAGAUUCAAAAUGUCUGAAUUAGACGUAUCUACGUGAUGGCAUAGCUUAUGCUGGAGAGUAUAAACUACAACAGAAAUGCAAUUAAUACUUUAUUGGGAAAAGAAGUUCUAAAAUUGUCAAUCAAUGUUGGAAUGGCAAAUAAUUGGUAGGCAACUAAUUCGUUUCCUUGAAAGAAUUAAAAAGAU